UCCAGGUAGACCCAUUGUCUCCCCCUCCAGGUAGACCCAUUGUCUCCUCCCCCAGGUAGACCCAUUGUCUCCCCCUCCAGGUAGACCCAUUGUCUCCUCCCCCAGGUAGACCCAUUGUCUCCCCCUCCAGGUAGACCCAUUGUCUCCCUCUCCAGGUAGACCCAUUGUCUCCUCCCCCAGGUAGACCCAUUGUCUCCUCCCCCAGGUAGACCCAUUGUCUCCUCCCCCAGGUAGACCCAUUGUCUCCUCCCCCAGGUAGACCCAUUGUCUCCCCCUCCAGGUAGACCCAUUGUCUCCCCCUCCAGGUAGACCCAUUGUCUCCUCCCCCAGGUAGACC
ensembl:lncRNA